AUGAAAAAAAUCCAGAACCACAUCCUUGCCAAGGAAGGCUGCAAUGAUUACAGGACAGAACACCUUGAGAUUGAGUUGUGGUCCAACUUCCCAAUAGAGAAGCAAGCUUACAAAACCUAUACUAGGGACCUUUACCACAAGUUCAGAGAAGAGUUUGAGCUGAUUGGACGUUAUAAUGCAUUCCAAGUUGGUGCUGAUAUAUUUGAGCUCAGACCGAACAAGGAAUUUGUUGCCAAAUAUGGUUCUCGAAACUACUUGGUGCAGGCAAGGGUGGAGGAGGGUUCCUAUUUGUGUGAGUGCUGUAAAAUGGACAAGGACGGCAUCCUUUGUUGCCACAUCCUCAAGGUGUUCACCCAUAUUGGAGUUGAUGUCAUACCGGAAAGGUACCUGCUAAGACGGUGGACACCUACUGCUGUACCUAGUGCGCCAGGGACUGGUUAUGAGCAACCGGAUGAAAUGCCUCCUCAAUCAAAGAAGCAGAUAAGGGAGAGGAACAUGAUAUACGAUUUUCGGAAACUAGCAAAGUUUGCGAGUGGUUCUGAUCCAGCACAAGCUAUUGUAUACAAGCAUAUGCACACAGCACGUACCGAGAUCGGCCACCUGAACAAGUCCAAGAAAAAGAAAAAAACCAACUGCUGCCACGGGGCCAUCAGAUGA
rnacentral:rRNA from 1 species